UACGUAGGGGGCUAGCGUUGUCCGGAUUUAUUGGGCGUAAAGAGCGUGUAGGCGGCCAGGUAGGUCUGCUGUGAAAACUCGAGGCUUAACCUCGAGACGUCGGCGGAAACCAUCUGGCUAGAGUCCGGAAGAGGAGAAUGGAAUUCCCGGUGUAGCGGUGAAAUGCGCAGAUAUCGGGAAGAACACCCGUGGCGAAGGCGGUUCUCUGGGACGGUACUGACGCUGAGACGCGAAAGCGUGGGGAGCGAACAGG
rnacentral:rRNA from 1 species